UUUAAACACUGGUUCCAUAUAAUCACUGAAGUUAAGCAAUAUUGAGCCUAGUCAGUACCUAGAUGAGUGACCACUUGGAAUACCAGGUGCUGUAAG